UAGGAACAGCACAGCAGUGGCAAAUUGUUUUUGUACCCCCAUGGAGCAGAGAAAACAUUUUCUUUUUAAAAAAAAAAACACUAAUAUUUAAAAAGCAUGAAGGGAAAAAGCAAGCAUAUCUCUUUAGCAGAGUAAGAAGCUUAAAAAGCCCCAGCUCUUCUAGAGCUGGCCACAAUUACAGAGAUAGCAUUAGUUAUCAUGCACUGAGGGUAAACUCAAGAGUUCAGGCUGCCCUUUGGCCAAGAUGCAUUUAAAUGUUUUGUUUGUUUUGUUUGAUGUGUGUGAAUGUUUUGCCCGCAUGCAUGUGUUCAGUGCCCACAGAGAGCAGAAAAGGGCACAAGAACACCUGGAUCUGGAAUCACAGAUGUUUGUUAGUCACUAGGUAGGAGGUGGGAAUUGAACCUGGGUCCUCUACAAGAGCAGGCAGUGCUCUUAACCAGAUCUGUGUCAGAAUUUCAUUCUACUAUAAUUACCAUGAACAUCCUAAACCCGACAGACAGCUUCAUGACAUCUUCCAUUUUUGAAUGGUAACACCACUAGAGAAGUUUGAUAAAUAUGGCGGAAACGCCUGGCUUCAUUGCUGAGCUAGAAGUUGCAGGCACGGUGGUGUGUCUACUGCUGCUUACUGUGAAGGCUGGGUUCAAGUUGUCAAGGAAUCACUGGAAAUCGAAAUCCAGAUCAUCGCUGCCAAAUUAUAAUUCACUAGUUUAGUUGCAUUUACAGAGCACUAUACCCAACGAGACCAGACCCCUCAAGCUCCUACGCUGUGACCUCCAAGCUCUGAGGGACAACUACUCGGAAUGAUGGGUCAAAAUAAAACCUUUU
rnacentral:lncRNA from 1 species